rnacentral:rRNA from 1 species
UACGUAGGGGGCAAGCGUUAUCCGGAUUUACUGGGUGUAAAGGGAGCGCAGACGGCAGUGCAAGUCUGGAGUGAAAGCCCGGGGCCCAACCCCGGAACUGCUCUGGAAACUGUGCUGCUGGAGUACUGGAGGGGCAGGCGGAAUUCCUAGUGUAGCGGUGAAAUGCGUAGAUAUUAGGAGGAACACCAGUGGCGAAGGCGGCCUGCUGGACAGUAACUGACGUUGAGGCUCGAAAGCGUGGGGAGCAA